rnacentral:lncRNA from 1 species
CUGGGACCCGCGGAAGCCGGCAUGCUGGAGAAGCUGGAGUUCGAGGACGAAGCAGUAGAAGACUCAGAAAGUGGUGUUUACAUGCGAUUCAUGAGGUCACACAAGUGUUAUGACAUCGUUCCAACCAGUUCAAAGCUUGUUGUCUUUGAUACUACAUUACAAGUUAAAAAGGCCUUCUUUGCUUUGGUAGCCAACGGUGUCCGAGCAGCGCCACUGUGGGAGAGUAAAAAACAAAGUUUUGUAGGUAAGCAGUGUGG